rnacentral:rRNA from 1 species
AGAGUUUGAUCCUGGCUCAGAUUGAACGCUGGCGGCAUGCUUUACACAUGCAAGUCGAACGGCAGCACAGGGAGCUUGCUCCCGGGUGGCGAGUGGCGCACGGGUGAGUAAUACAUCGGAACGUGUCCUGUUGUGGGGGAUAACUGCUCGAAAGGGUGGCUAAUACCGCAUGAGGCCUGAGGGUGAAAGCGGGGGAUCGCAAGACCUCGCGCAAUUGGAGCGGCCGAUGCCCGAUUAGCUAGUUGGUGAGGUAAAGGCUCACCAAGGCGACGAUCGGUAGCUGGUCUGAGAGGACGACCAGCCACACUGGGACUGAAACACGGCCCAGACUCCUACGGGAGGGAGCA